rnacentral:rRNA from 1 species
UACGUAGGGGGCAAGCGUUGUCCGGAAUCAUUGGGCGUAAAGCGCGUGUAGGCGGUUCGGUAAGUCUGCUGUGAAAGUCCAGGGCUCAACCCUGGGAUGCCGGUGGAUACUGUCGGACUAGAGUACGGAAGAGGCGAGUGGAAUUCCCGGUGUAGCGGUGAAAUGCGCAGAUAUCGGGAGGAACACCAAUUGCGAAGGCAGCUCGCUGGGACGUCACUGACGCUGAGGUGCGAAAGCGUGGGGAGCGAACAGG